AUUUAUUUAAUAUAUAAGUAUAUUUAACUUCCAAUUAAAAAGUCUGAUAUCUCAGAAUAAAUA
rnacentral:tRNA from 1 species